AAGAUGUUAUCUUUAGUUUCUAUAGGGAAAGCAAACAUCUCUGGAACUCUUACUUUCUUGGCUUAUUGUUUUAAGCUACUAUUACUUUUUUUUUGAGAUAGAGUUUUGCUCUUGUUGCCCAGGCUGGAGUGCAAUGGCACGAUCUUGGCUCACCGCAACCUCCGCCUCCUGGGUUCAAGCAAUUCUCCUGCUUCAGCCUCCCGAGUAGCUGGGAUUACAGGCAUGCACCACCACGCCUGGCUAAUUUUUGUAUUUUUAAUAGAGACGGGGUUUCACCAUGUUGGCUAGGCUGGUCUCAAACUCCUGAUCUCAGGUGAUCCACCCGCCUUUGCUUCCCAAAGUGCUGGGAUUAUAGGUGUGAGCCACCGUGCCGGCCCUAUUGCUACCUUUCGUUUUAACAAUUGACUUAUUUACUUCUGGGGCUAGCUAGAUGCCUGGGAUUUCCCUUGUAAGAACCAGAAUUUUCCUUAAUUUCCAUGCUGUGAGGUCCACAGGCACCUAAAAAAGAGGUCCCUGCUCCCUCUCAUUUCUCAGCUGGCGGACAGCCUCUUGCCUCUCUGUGGGGAUUCAAGAUGUUGGCCCAUCCUCCACUGUCCCCAGGUAGUCGAUGACCUUGGUGGUCAGGAUGGACUCUUAGGAUCAUGGGUGGGGGGGGGGUGUGUUUGGAGCUUUCUUGACCCCGGGAAAGCUGCAGGAUGACACCUUGAAUUUUCUCUGCAGUGCCACGGGAACUGGCAAUUGCAUUUAGCACUCGUUUGUCCUCUCUGCGUGCUAAGUGAUUGGUGACACAUGGAGGCACUGAUUGUUUCCUAAGGGCUCUUUUACGAGAUCUCCAAUAAAGUUCUAAGCGGAUCAUGCCUUGGACUUGUGAAAAGAAACCUUCUUGAAGAAAUGCUUUUCCGCAAAAAUGCCUGUUAUCGGGAAGAGUGUCCAUGUUUCCGAGAGACAAAGGAUUUAUGGCUGUAACAGAAACUCUCUCCGUGCAACUCCACCCUCCUCUGUCCCUCCCUUUGCACCCUGCAAGAUCUUGCCAGCCAUAAUUAGGGCUGUUUUGGGGACAGGCCAUUGCCCCCCCUUCUCAAAGGGAGGUAGAAGGCAGGACUUGACUCCAGAGGUGGGGCUUGGACACUGGACCAAACUGAGGACUAGUUAAAACAGGGCCGGGGGCCGGGUGCCGUGGCUCACGCCUGUAAUCCCAUUGCUUUGGGAGGCCAAGGCGGGUGCAUCACCAGAGGUCAGGAGUUUGAGACCAGCCUGGCCAACAUGAUGAAACCCCGUCUCUACUAAAAAUACAAAAAUUAGCUGGGCAUGGUGGCGUGUGCCUGUAAUCCCAGCUACUUGGGAGGCUGAGGUGGAAAAAUCGCUUGAACCCGGGAGGCAGAGGUUGCAGUGAGCUGAGAUCUCACCCCUGCACUCCAGCCUGGGUGACAGAGUGAGACUCUGUCUCAAACAAACAAACAAAAACAAAAAACAAACAAAAAACCAAAACAAAAAACAGGGACAGGGUAGAAGCAGCUUUCCAUAAGACACACCCCCCAGUGCAUCAUGUCAGUUUACCACUGCCAUGGUAACACCUGGGCGUUUCUGCCCCUUUCCAUGGCAAUGACUCGACGACCCAAAAGUUACUACCCCUUCUCUAGAAACUUCUGCAUAGGCCGGCGCAGUACACACCUGUAAUCCCAGCACUUUGGGAGGUCAAAGCAGGUGGAUCACCUGAGGUCAGAAUUUUGAGACCAGCCUGGCCAACAUGGUGAAACCCCGUCUCUACAAAAAAUACAAAAAUUAGCUGGAUGUGGUGGCACAAGCCUGUAGUCCCAGCUACUCAGAAGGCUGAGGUGGGAGGAUUGCUUGAACCCAGCAGGCGGAGGUUGCAGUGAGCUGAGAUUGUGCCAACUGCACUCCAGCCUGGGCAACAGAGUGAGACCCUGUCUCAAAAACAAAACAAAAAAAAAAAUUUUCUCAUAGGCCACUUCCUUAAUCUAUAUGUAAUUAAAAGUAGGUGUGAAUGUGGCUGCAAAGCUGCCUUGAGCUACUGUUCUCUGCCUAUGGGACAGUGCUGCUCCCAGGAGCAGUCAUGGAGCUGUAACCCUGCAGCCUCAGUAAAGCUGUUUUCUUCUACCCUACCACUGGCUUGCCCCUGAAUUCUCCUUUUUUUUAAAAGUACAAUUUCCAUUUUAUUUUUCUCCAGAUAAUAGUCUGUCUUCAGUCUUGAAGGACUCAGCUCCUUAUAUGGGCUUUGGUGGGGGUCAUGGGGCAGCACCCCCAGG
rnacentral:lncRNA from 10 species